GCAUAUCAAUAAGCGGAGGAAAAGAAACUAACAAGGAUUCCCUUAGUAACGGCGAGUGAAGAGGGAAAAGCUCAAAUUUUAAAUCUAUCAUGUUUGUACAUGAUCGAAUUGUAAUUUGAAGAAGCGUUUUCUCGUACUUUAUGCAAUCAGUAUAAGUUCUCUUGGAACAGGACAUCAUAGAGGGUGAUAAUCCCGUCUGUUACUGGUUGUGAGGUUCGUUAUGAUACGCUUUCAAAGAGUCGAGUUGUUUGGGAUUGCAGCUCCAAAUGGGUGGUAAACAUCACCUAAGGCUAAAUAUUUGCGAGAGACCGAUAGCGAACAAGUACCGUGAGGGAAGGAUGAAAAGAACUUUGAAAAGAGAGUUAAAAAGUAUGUGAAAUUGUUGAAAGGGAAACGAUUGAAGUCAGUCGUGCAGUCAUCAAUUCAGCGGUUAACAUUUUUAUGUUUCCGUGUAAUUUGGUGUCUGUUGGUUAGCAUCAAUUUUGAUUGUUAUAAAAAGGUUAAGGGGAUGUGGCUCCUUCGGGAGUGUUAUAACCCUUAGCGUAAUGUGACGAUUAGGAUUGAGGUUUGCAACGAAUACCUUUUAGGGCAGUUUCCCUGGCCUCUCGUGGAAUUAUAGAUAGUUAAGAGCAUGCUUCUUACUGUCUAUGAUUCUACGAAAAGGUUAGUGUAAAACUAAUUCGUUAAGGAUGUUGACGUA
rnacentral:rRNA from 1 species